UGUUAGUACAAUUGCAUCUGACUGCCUCUGAAACAGUAAUGGAUGAUGUCUUCACUGUGCAGCAGUGCAACUGGAAAUGUUAUUCCCAGUUUGCUGACAAAUAUUCAGAAAAAAAGUGGUGUAACUCUCUAUUCCUGUUGGCAUCAUCCAAGAUUGAGUCCUCGGGAACAUAUGGAGUGCACUGAGUGAGAAUAGAUUCAGUGCUGCUCUUCGUGUCUGCUGGCUGGGAAGUAAUUGCAGCAGAAAAAGAAGAAACCACCAACUUGUACUGGCAUGUUCUUCUGCCUGCUUAGAUUUAUAAAUCUAUUGGCAUUGGUUCCUCAUCAGAUUGUGACCUGAGGCCUCCUGGGUGUAAAUAAGAGCACAAAGUAUUGCAGGGCUCAGUGGUAAAUAUUAUACUUCAUGGCUCAGUGUUUAGCUUAUGUGAUGGAUUG